UCCGGUUCAUCACCAGCAGUCUCCUUAGAGUCCCCGCCAUUACGCGUUGGCAACUAAGGAUAAGGGUUGCGCUCGUUACGGGACUUAACCCAACAUCUCACAACACGAGCUGACGACAGCCAUGCAGCACCUGUCUCAGAGUUCCUUUCGGCACUUCCGCAUCUCUGCAGAAUUCUCUGGAUGUCAAGGGUAGGUAAGGUUCUUCGCGUUGCAUCGAAUUAAACCACAUGCUCCACCGCUUGUGCGGGCCCCCGUCAAUUCCUUUGAGUUUUAGCCUUGCGGCCGUACUCCCCAGGCGGAAAACUUAUCGCGUUAGCUUCGAUACUAAACAGUCAUGCUGCCCAACAUCUAGUUUUCAUCGUUUACAGCGUGGACUAC
rnacentral:misc_RNA from 1 species